rnacentral:misc_RNA from 1 species
CAUCUCAAACCUCCAAGAUUAGAGAUAAAGACAUAAGUAAUGGCAGCAAUGCUAACAUGGGAAGAUUUGGGGUCAUAGACUCUGUAAUAGAUGAAGUUCCAAUGUCCGUGCCGUCUGUUGAAAUGGGUUUGAAUCAAGAUAAUGACACGUUACCUUGGUUAAAUUAUCCGUUUGAAGACUCUCUGCAACAUGAUUAUUGUCCCGAGUUUUUUAUUGAAUUAUCUGGUGUUACUGUAAACGAACAUUCCCAGAAUUGUGCAUCAAUGGAAAAGAGAAGUUGUGGUAAUCAAUCAGUUAAAGAUCCCCAUAAUGCUUCUGUACAUAAUGGUUUGAGUUCAGAUCAAGGGCACAUGACAAAGUUUUCAUCAGCAGUGGAUGUUGAUGCUAAUAGACCUAGAAAUAGUUCCAGUCAGUCAUAUCCAUCUCCAUCACAGCAAUGCCAAACAUCACUUCCAUAUUUUAGAUCCAGAGUUUCAGCUAAUAAUGGUGAUAGUGUAAGCAAUUUGGCUCCCCAUGCUACUUCUGGGGAUUCAAUACGAGUUCCACCUUCAGGAGGUGGUUUUCCU